AUUGAACGCUGGCGGCAGGCUUAACACAUGCAAGUCGAGCGAGCGGCGGACGGGUGAGUAAUGUCUGGGAAACUGCCUGAUGGAGGGGGAUAACUACUGGAAACGGUAGCUAAUACCGCAUACCAUCAGAUGUGCCCAGAUGGGAUUAGCUAGUGGGUGGGGUAAGGGCUCACCUAGGCGACGAACCCUAGCUGGUCUGAGAGGAUGACCAGCAAAACUGGAACUGCGACCCGGCCCAGACUCCUACGGGAGGCGGCAGUGGGGAAUGUUGCACAAUGGGGGCAAGCCUGAUGCAGCCAUGCCGCGUGUGUGAAGAAGGCCUUCGGGUUGUAAAGCACUUUCAGAGAGGAGGCGUUACUCGCAGAAGAAGCACCGGCUAACUCCGUGCCAGCCGCCGCGGUAAUUC
rnacentral:rRNA from 1 species